CGGUUCUUGCAUCUCCCGACACCGAGUGACCGUAUUGUCCCGUUGCGCUCACUCAUGGGGUAGCCCCGUGAUCGCCCCGUCGUCGGAGGU
rfam:Streptomyces atratus strain OK807 genome assembly, contig: Ga0007934_1002